rnacentral:rRNA from 1 species
AUACGGAGGGUGCAAGCGUUACUCGGAAUCACUGGGCGUAAAGCGCGCGCAGGCGGGCUGAUAAGUUGGAUGUGAAAGCCUACGGCUCAACCGUAGAACUGCAUUCAAAACUGUCAGUCUAGAGUCUGGGAGGGGAAGAUGGAAUUAGUUGUGUAGGGGUAAAAUCCGUAGAGAUAACUAGGAAUGCCAAAAGCGAAGGCGAUCUUCUGGAACAGUACUGACGCUGAGGCGCGAAAGCGUGGGGAGCAAACAGGAUUAGAAACCCUAGUAGUCC